rnacentral:rRNA from 1 species
UACGGAGGAUCCAAGCGUUAUCCGGAUUUAUUGGGUUUAAAGGGUGCGUAGGCUGGUUUAUUAAGUCAGGGGUGAAAGACGGCAGCUUAACUGUCGCAGUGCCUUUGAUACUGAUGAACUUGAAUGUACUAGAAGUAGGCGGAAUGUGACAAGUAGCGGUGAAAUGCAUAGAUAUGUCACAGAACACCGAUUGCGAAGGCAGCUUACUAUGGUAUGAUUGACGCUGAGGCACGAAAGCGUGGGGAUCAAACAGG